AACGAACGCUGGCGGCAGGCCUAACACAUGCAAGUCGAGCGGACCCUUCGGGGUUAGCGGCGGACGGGUGAGUAACGCGUGGGAAUAUGCCCUUCUCUACGGAAUAGUCCUGGGAAACUGGGGGUAAUACCGUAUACGCCCUUUGGGGGAAAGAUUUAUCGGGGAAGGAUUAGCCCGCGUUGGAUUAGGUAGUUGGUGGGGUAAUGGCCUACCAAGCCGACGAUCCAUAGCUGGUUUGAGAGGAUGAUCAGCCACACUGGGACUGAGACACGGCCCAGACUCCCACGGGAGGGAGCAGGGGGGAAGCUUAGAAAAGGGGGGAAACCCUGAUCUAGCCAGGCCGGGUGAGUGAUGAAGGCCUUAGGGUUGAAAAGCUCUUUCAGCUGGGAAGAAAAUGACGGUAAAAGAAAAAGAAGCCCCGGCUAACUCCGU
rnacentral:rRNA from 1 species